AGGCAGCAGUGGGGAAUAUUGCACAAUGGGCGCAAGCCUGAUGCAGCCAUGCCGCGUGUAUGAAGAAGGCCUUCGGGUUGUAAAGUACUUUCAGCAGUGAGGAAGGUGGGUAUGUUAAUAGCAUACUCAUUUGACGUUAGCUGCAGAAGAAGCACCGGCUAACUCCGUGCCAGCAGCCGCGGUAAUACGGAGGGUGCGAGCGUUAAUCGGAAUUACUGGGCGUAAAGCGCAUGCAGGUGGUUUGUUAAGUCAGAUGUGAAAGCCCGGGGCUCAACCUCGGAAUUGCAUUUGAAACUGGCAAACUAGAGUACUGUAGAGGGGGUAGAAUUUCAGGUGUAGCGGUGAAAUGCGUAGAGAUCUGAAGGAAUACCGGUGGCGAAGGCGGCCCCCCUGGACAGAUACUGACACUCAGAUGCGAAAGCGUGGGGAGCAAACCAGGAUUAGAUACCCCUGGUAG
rnacentral:rRNA from 1 species